GGCAGCAAAACGCCUCUUCUUUGACGCUCCCUGUUGGAAGCGAGCAGGGCUGUAAACACUGGGCAACAGGUUGCUCGUCCCUGCUGGAUUUGGAGACCGGGGUCCACGACGACAGCUGAGUGGAUGUACAUUCCAGGGUUGCUGGGAUAACCCUCACUCCUGAAGGAAGAUGAUCCUCCCAUCAGCGAAUCCAUCAGGAAGUUACCAGGCGCUAAGUUAUUCGGACAUGUCAUAUUUGCUUUAGACAACCAAAUAAUCACGGGGUGUGUUGCUUUGCUCUGAGCUAUGAGAUGUAAUCGGGAGACAGGGGAUAGUAGGAUGCUGACAUCUUUUAGAGGGGGGUGCAAAAAUAUCAGUAACAUAAUUAUGGAUGUUCGGAGACAUGUCAUGUGAGUUUCAGACCAAUAGCGGCGUGGAAGUGGCCUUGAAGCUCCAGACUGAAGUGACGUCAGCGCGGUCAAGUUGGAAAAACCGAAGGCUUUUCCGUGGAGCAAGAGCGCCACCUAAUGACCGUUCAUUGUCCAAAUCAGCAGGCCCACAUCAGGAAGAACAAAGGACUGCUGCUGCUGCUUCGGACGGAUUUUUGUGGACAAUAAAUGUAUGGUUUCUGUUAAUUUGAACUCCACAAAACUUAAACUUUAGUUAUUUUUAACAUGAUGUUUUUAUCAGCUGUGAUUGAGCUGUGAAUGCGGGGGAUUUGAUUUCAAACAAACAAUUUUGUUGCUGUUUUUACUCAUGGAUUUUUGCUCUGUUUUCAUCGAUUUGCACUUUUCUGCCACCAAAUUUGAAAAGGUGAGCAUUGUCUGGUUUUGAACUUCAAAGUAUUGAAGGUGGAUUAUCAUAGAAAACAAACUGAUCAAACGAGUUUAACAGCCAUUUUUUUCGCUUGGUCGUUUGUGAAUUUAAUAUUUAACAAAUGUGAUUUAGUUCUGCUUUCACAUAAUUAAAAGCAUCUCAACCUGAUAUUAAUUUAAG